UCCAACUAAGAUGCACGCUUGAUGAGUGGCCCAAAUUAAUUCAGCACUUUCUGUCAUUUAUCUCUCCUCAAGCGCAGCGAACUUCCUAGCUACCUCCAUUGAAGUGGAUUUCGAGCUUUCUCUACUCCAUUGCAGCGGAUUUCGAGCUUUCUGUACUCCAUUGAAGCAGCUCUUGAGGGAAUUUCGAGCUUUUUCGAGCUUUUGAUACUCCAUUGAAGCAGCUUCUGAGGUCUCCAAGAUAACUCCUCAUUAUGACUAUCCUUGAGUAGUUCCUCCAUGGUCGACCAAGAAAGAUGAAUAGCUUUAAUGACAACAGUAACUUGGCAACCAAAUUGAAAACUAGGCUAAAUUUCAGAAAUUUCAAACAUUGGGAAAAUGAGUUAAGAAGUGUUCUUAAGAGCCACUAGCUUGAAGCUCGGUUAUAUAUUCCCAUUGAAAGCAGAUUUACAGCCAAAAGACAUGCAAAAGAUGUUUCAAAUGCAGAGAAAAUCAGGAAUCUCAUGUUAGCUUCUAUUUCAACAUGUUGGAAGAGAAGGUUUAAGGAUUAUGAGCCAACCUUACUGCGAGAAUGCCUACAUGCUAUCUGUGAAGUUUGCAUAGGGGCAUUAGGAAGUGGAGGCAUCAUUGACAAGAAUGUCAAGAAAAUUUUUGAUUCGAUUCCCACGGUAUAUUUCUCUUUGAUUGACAGUGUAAGGUUUGAGAUUUACAACAUUCAUUGUAAGAUAAUAACUAAGAAACUCAUACCUGCUUUCUCUCAAAAAAAAAAAAAAGAAACUCAUACCUGGUCAAUCAAUUAGGACUCAUGUCAAGGAACUGAUGGAGUUACUCAAUUGGAUGGAUAUCUUAGGGAGACCGUUUGAUGAUGACUCUGCUCAUGACACCAUUCUGUUUUCACUCCAUGCUGGAUUUUAUCUCGUCAAGCUAAUAUAUGAUGAUUAAGGCUCUAUAGUCACGCUUGUCGACUUAUUGAUCAACUACAUAGAGGAGUACUUGAAGAAAGAAGGAAUCCAAUGCUUCUAUUACGGUAGCUGGUCUUACCACUUAUGAGGAUGUCCCAACAACAUGCUGUUAAAAACGGAAGGGCUUAAGAGUGAGUAAAAGGCUAGCAAAAGGGGAGAUGAUGUUUCGAGUAGGAAAUGAGUAAAUGUUGUUGCACUUGCUAUUGGAAGCUAUGAACUCAAGCUCCCGUCUGGACUCGUUUUGGUUGUUAAUAACUGUUAUUAUGUUCCUGCGAUUACUAAAAACAUUGUUUCAGUUCCUGUUUUAGAUACUGAAGGUUUUUCUUUUGAAAUUAAAGACAACUGUUGUUUUAUUUCAAAGAAUAACAAGUUAUGUGCUAGUGCAAAUUUGGUUAAUGGUUUAUAUUUAUUAGAUUAU